CAUUCCUUGGAAGAGAUUUACCUCCAGCAGGAGGUGGCCUGAAUGAAGAUUGUGUUGCCAUUGAAGGGCUGGCUGAUAUCAUAAUCUGCCUUAGAAGCGAUAUCAGUACUGAUUAUUUUAAGCUCAUUGAAGUCUUUAGGAGUCUGUAUUUUUCAUUAGUGCAUGGGCUGAAGACUGUUUUUCUCAUUAUAUGAGUGAAGACUGACUGUACCUAGAAAAGCAAUAAACAUCCCUUUGGAGACUUUCUCCUAAGAGAGGAGGAAGAAAUUAAAAGCUGUGUUCUCUUAACUCUCAGCCAGACUCAGAAUGGCGCAGGAAGACAAACCUUCUCCCAGCCUGAUCUCCAGGGAGUCUCUUGUUAUGGAAACAGUCCUUCCCCAAAGCCUCUUUGGCAGUUUGGUCACCCCAGGAAUAAUCACAUGUCCCACAGACAGAGCCAGAUUUUAGAUGACCUUAAAAUCCAAGAGCAUGGGUUUUAUUCUGUACUUAGAAAACCAUUGCUGAGUGAAUAAAGGAGUGAUCAGAUGAGUGAGAUAAUGAAGAGAAGAGAAACUAUUUUGAUGGCCUAGAGCAGAAGAUCCAUGGAAGUACACUGGCAGGAUAUGGCCAGAGACAGUAUGGAAGAGAGUUGGCGUCUAAGACAACUUUGGAUUUGGUGUUUAGGGGCCAGAAAUGAAUGACCAAGAGAAAUUGGAAGUCAGAAGCAUUAGUUUUUACUUCUUAAAGUUUCGUUACCCACCAUCAAUCGCGGUCAGGAAGCCGAUGAUCCUCCUCCUGACAAAUCAUUGGAAGGUCAAUAGUAGCCUAACUUUACAUCACAACGCCUGCGUCAUUCAGUCUUUUUGCUUCAUCUCAUCCCGUAGGCAUUUUAUCAUCUCACAUCAUCAC